rnacentral:snRNA from 1 species
UGUAAGGGCAAUCUGGCUGCAACAUCUGCCAUCCCAUUGAUCAUCCAUGUUUAUUCAGCUGAUCUGGUUCACCAGAUAAGUGUCUCUUUCAACCCUGACCACUCCAUAUGCGACUGUCCUGAACCUGUACAUACUGUUAAAGAGGAUGACAUCCCAGGUAAAAGAAGUUUGGUGUUCUGUUAUCACAGGUAUACAAUAGUUGCACUCCCCUGCUUGAUAACCCAAACUAGCUCAAUUUUGUUGUUAGUUUUAUCUCUAUCCCACCUUUUCCCCAGGUUUGAGACUCAAGGGAGCUUACACAUUAAAAUGAUUACAACGUAAAAACAGUAUAUCCUU